GUGGGGAAUUUUGGACAAUGGGCGCAAGCCUGAUCCAGCAAUGCCGCGUGCAGGAAGAAGGCCUUCGGGUUGUAAACUGCUUUUGUACGGAACGAAACGGUCCGGGUUAAUACCCUGGGCUAAUGACGGUACCGUAAGAAUAAGCACCGGCUAACUACGUGCCAGCAGCCGCGGUAAUACGUAGGGUGCAAGCGUUAAUCGGAAUUACUGGGCGUAAAGCGUGCGCAGGCGGUUUUGUAAGACAGGCGUGAAAUCGCCGGGCUCAACCUGGGAACUGCAUUGGUGACUGCAAGGCUGGAGUGCGGCAGAGGGGGAUGGAAUUCCGCGUGUAGCAGUGAAAUGCGUAGAUAUGCGGAGGAACACCGAUGGCGAAGGCAAUCCCCUGGGCCUGCACUGACGCUCAUGCACGAAAGCGUGGGGAGCAAACAGGAUUAGAAACCCCGGUAGUCC
rnacentral:rRNA from 1 species